GAUGAAGAACGUAGCGAAAUGCGAUACGUAGUGUGAAUUGCAGAAUUCAGUGAAUCAUCGAAUCUUUGAACGCACAUUGCGCCCCCUGGUAUUCCGGGGGGCAUGCCUGUCCGAGCGUCAUUGCUGCCCUCAAGCACGGCUUGUGUGUUGGGCCCCGUCCUCCGAUCCCGGGGGACGGGCCCGAAAGGCAGCGGCGGCACCGCGUCCGGUCCUCGAGCGUAUGGGGCUUUGUCACCCGCUCUGUAGGCCCGGCCGGCGCUUGCCGAUCAACCCAAAUUUUUAUCCAGGUUGACCUCGGAUCAGGUAGGGAUACCCGCUGAACUUAAGCAUAUCAAUAAGCGGAGGA
rnacentral:misc_RNA from 1 species